rnacentral:rRNA from 1 species
GACGAGCGCUGGCGGCGCGCUUAACACAUGCAAGUCGAGCGAUCACCAUGGCUUCGGCCAUGGGGAGAGCGGCGAAUGGGUGCGUAACACGUGAGUGAUCUGCCCUCGACACCGGGAUAGCCCGGGGAAACCCGGAUUAAUACCGGAUGGCCUUUCGAGCACAUGGGCUCGCUACAAAAGAUAGCUCCUGCGUUCGGAGGAGGAUGAGCUCGCGGCCUAUCAGCUUGUUGGUGGGGUGAUGGCCUACCAAGGCGACGACGGGUAGCCGGCCUGAGAGGACGAUCAGCCACACUGGGACUGAAACACGGCCCAGACUCCUACGGGAGGCAGCAGUGGGGAAUCUUGCGCGAUGGGCGAAAGCCUGACGCAGCGACGCCGCGUGCGGGAAGAAGGCCUUCGGGUUGUAAACCGCUUUCAGGAGGGACGAAGCAACUCGGGUUAAUAGCCCAGAGAGUGACGGGACCUCCAGAAGAAGCCCCGGCUAACUACGUGCCAGCCGCCGCGGUAAAAC